UUUAAGUGAUCCUAGUAAACUGACCGAGUUUUCUAAACAAAUUAUUAUUUACAUUGCAGGGUUUGUUGUAAGUCAAUUGAAAAAAGAACUUAAGUGUCCUGAUUGUACGUCAGUUUUGACUGCUGAUAAAUUUUGCAUUUACUGCGCGCCAGCCCGGAGCAAUUUUCUGCUCUAAUAGAAUUCAUGGAAAGGUAUGGUGACCUCUCUCGACCUCAGCGGGGACUUCAGGGUGUAGUAAAAGCCGACCAAAUGUGGGAAAGGCUGACAGUCUUAUUAAAUUCAGUUGGUGGUGGGGUAAAUAAAUCACAAGAUAUUGUGGAAGAAAGAAUCGCAGCUUAACGCCAUUUGACCGGGCAGCGACAGAAUUUGUGACGGUUGAACAAAGACGCCUUGCACUGGAGGAGACGCGAGAGAAGCUCCUCCAUGAGCGGGAAAGGGAACGGGAAAAACUCUUACAUGAACGAGAAAGGGAGCGUGAGCAGCUCCUCCAUGAAAGAGAAAUGGAGCGACUGCGACUGGAGUCGCAAAAGUGUGAGGCAAAUCGCGAGCAAUCCCGCGUGGUGCAGCAAAUAGCUGUUAUCGGGCAAAGGUUGCUCGAGAGAUUGCUUCAAGGGCCAUUAUCUUAAAUGUAUAAUAGCGGCAGUACACAUGGGGCCAAGGUGUUGGGCCAACGUAUUGGGAAAAAAUGAAGGAUAUCAAGAUUCCUGUUCACACAUUGGCUUACUGAUUAUUCUGCAUUGGCGCUUCAAAGAUGGACGUAGGCCGUAGAAGUUCUUGCAGCCGCGGCAAUUUAUUUAUACAGUACGUUUAAUUAUUACGUCCAUGUGCACCAAUAACAAUGAGUGUACUCAGCCGUCUGCG